rnacentral:misc_RNA from 1 species
UACGUAGGGUGCGAGCGUUGUCCGGAAUUAUUGGGCGUAAAGGGCUCGUAGGCGGUUUGUCACGUCGGGAAUGAAAACUCAGGGCUCAACCCUGAGCCUGCUUCCGAUACGGGCAGACUAGAGUGAUGUAGGGGAGACUGGAAUUCCAGGUGUAGCGGUGAAAUGCGUAGAGAUCUGGAGGAAUACCGAUGGCGAAGGCAGCCAUCUGGCCUAAUACUGACGCUGAGGUACGAAAGCAUGGGGAGCAAACAGG